CGACGUGGAAAAUCAUUCAGGUGGUGAGUACACAUUGAUAUUCUGUUCUUUCGAAAUUGCUUACAUGCUGAGAUCCAAUUUAAUAGCAAACAAGAUUUACCUGUCAAUUACUCACCAAGAUACACCAUGCUGAGGUCAAUCCUCGCUGUGGUUAUAUUGGUCCAUUUCAAUGACAAACAU
rnacentral:snoRNA from 1 species